UUUCCGUAGGUGAACCUGCAGAAGGAUCAUUAAUGCUUCUCCAAUAUCAACCAAAUCGUGAAACAAGUUUCCGUCUUCAACGACAAAAAGAAGGCCUCAGCAAUGAGGUCUUCUUGUUGAGGAUUGGUUUAUUCUUUAAAUUUUAACCCCAAGUAAACAAUUCUGAACUGAAAAAUCUUUGUGACUGAAAAGUUGCAGAGCAAGAAAACGAAAUUAAGAAACAACUCUUAACAACGGAUAUCUUGGUUCUCGCAUCGAUGAAGGACGCAGC
rnacentral:misc_RNA from 1 species